UACGAAGGGGCUAGCGUUGCUCGGAAUUACUGGGCGUAAAGGGCGCGUAGGCGGCACUGUUAGUCAGGCGUGAAAGUCCUGGGCUCAACCUGGGAACUGCGCUUGAUACGGCAGAGCUAGAGGAUGGAAGAGGCUCGCGGAAUUCCCAGUGUAGAGGUGAAAUUCGUAGAUAUUGGGAAGAACACCGGUGGCGAAGGCGGCGAGCUGGUCCAUUACUGACGCUGAGGCGCGACAGCGUGGGGAGCGAACAGG
rnacentral:rRNA from 1 species